rnacentral:rRNA from 1 species
CGGAGGGUGCAAGCGUUGUUCGGAAUUAUUGGGCGUAAAGCGCGUGUAGGCGGCUAUCUAAGUCUGGUGUGAAAGCCCUCGGCUUAACCGAGGAAGUGCAUUGGAUACUGGAUAGCUAGAGGAUGAGAGAGGAGAGUAGAAUUCCCGGUGUAGGGGUGAAAUCCGUAGAGAUCGGGAGGAAUACCAGAGGCGAAGGCGGCUCUCUGGCUCAUAUCUGACGCUGAGACGCGAAAGCGUGGGGAGCAAACAGGAUUAGAUACCCUGGUAGUCCACGCCCUAAACGAUGGAUACUAGUCGUCGGGAAUCCUAAUCGUCUCGGUGACGAAGCUAACGCAUUAAGUAUCCCGCCUGGGAAGUACGGUCGCAAGAUUA